rnacentral:rRNA from 1 species
CCCUUUGUCGAUUCAUAACUGUUGCCUCGGGGGGCGACCCGGACGCGAGCCCGGGAGUCCCCCAGAGGUCCAAUCAAACACACUGCGUCUUUGCGUCGGAGUAUUGAAAUAAAUCAAUCAAAACUUUCAACAACGGAUCUCUUGGUUCUGGCAUCGAUGAAGGACGCAGCGAAAUGCGAUAAGUAAUGUGAAUUGCAGAAUUCAGUGAAUCAUCGAAUCUUUGAACGCACAUUGCGCCCUUUGGCAUUCCGAAGGGCAUGCCCGUUCGAGCGUCAUUACACCACUCAAGCCUGGCUUGGUAUUGGGCGUCGUCUUCAUUGGCGUGCCUUCAAUUCUUCGGCUGGACGGUACGAAUCUCAGCGUUGCGGAAACAAAUCGCUGGCGAGGAGGGCCGGACGUCGCCGUAAAACUUUCAUUACAGGUUGACCUCGGAUCGGGUAGG